UAAUAAAAGUGUUUUAUGGCACUUUUCAAACAAAUCCAUAUCCACCUUGUGUGCAAUGUGUUUUUUUUUUAAAUAAACACUUUAUUUUUUAAUUGCCAAUUUAUCUGAAGAUCAGUAUUAUUAUGAAUUAACUUAAUUCAAAAUA
rnacentral:misc_RNA from 1 species